UACGGAGGGUGCAAGCGUUGUCCGGAUUUAUUGGGUUUAAAGGGUGCGUAGGCGGCCCGGUAAGUCAGUGGUGAAAGCCUCCAGCUCAACUGGAGAACUGCCAUUGAUACUGCCGGGCUUGAGUACAGACGAGGUUGGCGGAAUUGAUUGUGUAGCGGUGAAAUGCAUAGAUACAAUCAAGAACUCCGAUUGCGUAGGCAGCUAACUAGGCUGUAACUGACGCUGAGGCACGAAAGCGUGGGGAGCGAAUAGG
rnacentral:rRNA from 1 species